ACAAAAGUGAACAACACCUGGCUUGUAAUCUUACAUGAACAACAGCCCCCAGGAUUCCAGGAAGCUAACUGUCCUUGGGCCAGGAAGGCUUACAGCCCCAUGAAAGAUAUUUUGAUAGGAGAAUCCUGUUGUGUGUAGAGGAGGCAACGAAGUUUCAGUUGUCACCAGAGAAGCCGACAGAAAAGUGAAAAUGGGGAACAUAGAUGAGAAUCGAUCCAGUAGGAGGCGCUGUUGAGAGGGACGGCGAUGAUGAAGAAAGGCCGCAAAUAGGAAAAGUCAGCGGUGAAAUUGUAGAAGAAAAAUAACUGAAGCGCAGAAGUCCGCAACCGCAUCUCCGCCGAGCUCCACUUCUCACGUGAAAAUGAAAAUAAUGAUUUACUUGAGGGCUUGGUGGGCCUGCUCUGCUAAUAAGGACUUUUGUACCUAGAAAGAAUGAGAGGCAGAUGAUGCAGUUGGCCGCACUCCAGCUCUGUGGUCCAGCAGAUCCGGUGAAGGCAGCGGCUGAGGAAGCUUUCUCUUCCAGGAAAGCACACAAAGGCUGCCGGGCCAUAAUCAGAGAAGCCUUGCUUUACGAUGAACAGAGGUGAAAGCAGAGACACAGGGCUGCACAGGAUCCCGAGAGUGAGUGACUGACAGCUGAUGGAUCAGCCCUGGACAAGAGAUUUCCACCAACCUCUUAUGGCCCAGAGACUGUAUUCUCUUAGUAGAAUGGAAAGUUUGGCUUAAGGACUUGACUUACUCAUAGUCCGUGAAACUGAAUUUCCUUUUAGUGAUGUAAUGAACUAUUUGACAAGAUCACGUCAAAAAAUGGCAUCAGUUCUGGGAACCAAGCGCUUCUUGCUCUAAAACACAUCUAAGAAUAAUCCACAGAGAUACUUGAAAUAAGUCUAUUCUUUAAAAAAAAAAAUCUAAUUUGGACAUC
ensembl:lincRNA Gm36793 predicted gene, 36793